AGCCAUGUAGAGAGCACAAAGCGAACUAUUCUUUCGCCUUUUGCUAAAGAAUACCAUGUGCUCGUUACAUUAAAUGGUAUACGUUUAUUUUUGGAGAGCAUCUUCGGUUACUG
rnacentral:snRNA from 1 species